rnacentral:rRNA from 1 species
GGACGAACGCUGGCGGCGUGCUUAACACAUGCAAGUCGAACGGAGUUAAGGAGCUUGCUUCUUAACUUAGUGGCGAACGGGUGAGUAACGCGUGAGGAACCUGCCUUUCAGAGGGGGACAACAGUUGGAAACGACUGCUAAUACCGCAUGACACAUUCGGACGGCAUCGUUUGAAUGUCAAAGAUUUUAUCGCUGAAAGAUGGCCUCGCGUCUGAUUAGAUAGUUGGUGGGGUAACGGCCUACCAAGUCGACGAUCAGUAGCCGGACUGAGAGGUUGAACGGCCACAUUGGGACUGAGACACGGCCCAGACUCCUACGGGAGGCAGCAGUGGGGAAUAUUGCGCAAUGGGGGAAACCCUGACGCAGCAACGCCGCGUGAAGGAAGAAGGUCUUCGGAUUGUAAACUUUUGUCUUCAGGGAAGAUAAUGACAGUACCUGAGGAGGAAGCUCCGGCUAACUACGUG